ensembl:misc_RNA Y_RNA Y RNA
GGCUGGUGCAAGUACAAUGGUAUUUACAACUUAUUGAUCACAGUCAUUUACAGAUUCCUUUGUUCCUUCUCUACUCCCACUGCUUCACUUGACUAGCCUCUA